GAUGAACGCUGGCGGCGUGCUUAACACAUGCAAGUCGAACGGAAAGGCCAGUGCUUGCGCUGGUACUCGAGUGGCGAACGGGUGAGUAACACGUGGGUGAUCUGCCCUGCACUUCGGGAUAAGCUUGGGAAACUGGGUCUAAUACCGGAUAGGACCAUUGGUUGGUGCCUUUGGUGGAAAGUUUUUUCGGUGUGGGAUGAGCUCGCGGCCUAUCAGCUUGUUGGUGGGGUAAUGGCCUACCAAGGCGUCGACGGGUAGCCGGCCUGAGAGGGUGUACGGCCACAUUGGGACUGAGAUACGGCCCAGACUCCUACGGGAGGCAGCAGUGGGGAAUAUUGCACAAUGGACGCAAGCCUGAUGCAGCGACGCCGCGUGGGGGAUGACGGCCUUCGGGUUGUAAACUCCUUUCGCCAAAGACGAAUGUGGACGGUAUUUGGAGAAGAAGCACCGGCUAACUACGUGCCAGCAGCCGCGGUAAUACGUAGGGUGCGAGCGUUGUCCGGAAUUACUGGGCGUAAAGAGCUCGUAGGUGGUUUGUCGCGUCGUUUGUGGAAGUCCACGGCUUAACUGUGGGACUGCAGGCGAUACGGGCAUAACUUGAGUGCUGUAGGGGAGACUGGAAUUCCUGGUGUAGCGGUGAAAUGCGCAGAUAUCAGGAGAACACCGAUGGCGAAGGCAGGUCUCUGGGCAGUAACUGACGCUGAGGAGCGAAAGCAUGGGGAGCGAACAGGAUUAGAUACCCUGGUAGUCCAUGCCGUAAACGGUGGGCGCUGGGUGUGAGUCCCUUCCACGGGGUUCGUGCCGUAGCUAACGCAUUAAGCGCCCCGCCUGGGGAGUACGGCCGCAAGGCUAAAACUCAAAGGAAUUGACGGGGGCCCGCACAAGCGGCGGAGCAUGCGGAUUAAUUCGAUGCAACGCGAAGAACCUUACCUGGGCUUGACAUACACUGGAUCGCUGCAGAGAUGUAGUUUCCCUUGUGGCUGGUGUACAGGUGGUGCAUGGUUGUCGUCAGCUCGUGUCGUGAGAUGUUGGGUUAAGUCCCGCAACGAGCGCAACCCUUGUCUUAUGUUGCCAGCAUUUUGGUUGGGGACUCAUGAGAGACUGCCGGGGUGAACUCGGAGGAAGGUGGGGAUGACGUCAAAUCAUCAUGCCCCUUAUGUCCAGGGCUUCACACAUGCUACAAUGGUCGGUACAACGCGCAGCGAGCCUGUGAGGGUGAGCGAAUCGCUGAAAGCCGGUCGUAGUUCGGAUUGGGGUCUGCAACUCGACCCCAUGAAGUCGGAGUCGCUAGUAAUCGCAGAUCAGCAACGCUGCGGUGAAUACGUUCCCGGGCCU
rnacentral:rRNA from 1 species